UGUCUAAGUACAUGCCGUAUUAAGGCGAAACCGCGAAUGGCUCAUUAAAUCAGUUAUGGUUCCUUGGAUCGUACCUUACUACUUGGAUAACUGUGGCAAUUCUAGAGCUAAUACAUGCAGCAGAGCUCCGACCUUCGGGGACGAGCGCUUUUAUUAGACCAAAACCAAUCGGGCCUCGUGUCCGUGAACUGUGGUGACUCUGUAUAACUUUGGGCUGAUCGCACGGGCUCGUCCCGGCGACGUAUCCUUCAAGUGUCGCCUUAUCAACUGUCGAUGGUAGGUUAUGCGCCUACCAUGGUCGCAACGGGUAACGGGGAAUCAGGGUUCGAUUCCGGAGAGGGCGCCUGAGAAACGGCGACCACAUCCAAGGAAGGCAGCAGGCGCGCAAAUUACCCACUCCCGGAACGGGGAGGUAGUGACGAAAAAUAACAAUACGGGACUCUUUUGAGACCCCGUAAUUGGAAUGAGUACACUCUAAAUCCUUUAACGAGGACCCACUAGAGGACAAGUCAGGUGCCAGCACCCGCGGUAAUCCCUGUUCUAGUAGUGUAUAUUAAAGUUGUUGCGGUUAAAAAGCUCGUAGUUGGAUCUCAGUUCGAGUCGGGUGGUCCCCCAACCGGGGGUUACUGCCUGUUCUCAACACAGCCGGUUUCUCUAGAUGAUCUUCACCGGUUGUCUUGGGUGACCGGCAAGUUUACUUUGAAAAAAUUAGAGUGCUCAAAGCAGGCGCGACGCCUGAAUAAUGUUGCAUGGAAUAAUGAAAUAGGACCUCGGUUCUAUUUUGUUGGUUUUCGGAACACGAGGUAAUGAUUAAGAGGGACAGACGGGGGCAUUCGUAUGCGACGCUUAAAGGAAUUGACGGAAGGGCACCACCAGGCGUGGAGCCUGCGGCUAAAUUUGACUCAACACGGCACAACUUACCCGGCCCGGACACAGGAAGGAUUGACAGAUUGAGAGCUCUUUCUUGAUUCUGUGGAAGGUGGUGCAUGGCCGCUCUAGUUGGUGGAGCGAUUUGUCUGGUUUAUUCCGAUAACGAACGAGACCCUAGCCUGCUAAAUAGACGUUCCGAUUCUUCUCGGUCGGACGCUCUUCUUAGAGGGAUAAGUGGCGUUUAGCCGCACGAGACAGGGCAAUGCAGGUCAGAGAUGCCCUUAGAUGUCCGGGGCCGCACGCGCGCUACAUUGAAGGAAUCAGCGUGUGCUUCCCCUGUCCGACAGGACUGGGUAACCCGUUGAACCUCCUUCGUGCUGGGGAUAGGAAUUUGUAAUUAUCUUCCUUGAACGAGGAAUGCCUAGUAAGCGCGAGUCAUUAGCUCGUGCUGAUUAUGUCCCUGCCCUUUGUGCACACCGCCCGUCCCACUACCGAUUGAAUGAUUUAGUGAGGACAUCGGACUGGCGCUCGGAUUGGCUUUCGUCGAGCCGCGUGCCGGAAAGAUGUCCAAACUUGACCAUUUAGAGGAAGUGAAAGUCGUAACAAGGUUUCC
rnacentral:rRNA from 1 species